GAGGAGUUAGUUAAGAAUAACAUUAUCUUGUCAAGAUAAAAUCACCGGUUAGAUCCCGGUACUCCUCU
rnacentral:tRNA from 2 species